GCCAUAUAGCAAUGGUGAUCUUAUGAACCGUGUCAGAUCUGGAAGGAAGCAGCACUAAGUAAGCUUCACCAUGUGCUAUAUGUACAU
rnacentral:SRP_RNA from 1 species